UACGUAGGGGGCAAGCGUUGUCCGGAUUUAUUGGGCGUAAAGAGCUCGUAGGCGGUCUGUCGCGUCGGCUGUGAAAACCCGGAGCUCAACUCCGGGCCUGCAGUCGAUACGGGCAGACUGGAGUUCGGCAGGGGAGACUGGAAUUCCUGGUGUAGCGGUGAAAUGCGCAGAUAUCAGGAGGAACACCGGUGGCGAAGGCGGGUCUCUGGGCCGAUACUGACGCUGAGGAGCGAAAGCGUGGGGAGCGAACAGG
rnacentral:rRNA from 1 species